GCUGAGACACGCGUAAUGAACUGAGUAUUAGCGGCAAUUUUAAACCGAAAGCGUCCCAUGUACACCGGCUUAUUGGCGAGAGAGCUCUUUACCUUCAACAGGAGUUGCAUCUGAUCACGUCAACUUCGGUGUAAAUUCAAAAAGGCUUUGCUCAAGGAUGAAGUAAGGAAAAUGUGACCAUUUCUCAUCCAAUGAAUGUGAGCAAGAGAGAAAUGACAUCAAUGUUAUCAACUGAUUAAACGACUCAUAAUCCAGCCGAUAAGGUGAUGCUUUAGAAGAGGUGCAUUACUCUCUGCAGUGGGAAAGAAAGGUUACGAGAGCUCUCCAACAUGUCACCCGCAAUAGUAUCAAACCCCUGAAGACAAGAAUUCAAGAAUUGAACAAUUUGAUGAUUUUGUUCAGAUUUGCCGACCUGGAAAGAUGACCAUUGUGAUUUUCCAAGCCUGACAUCACAUUGAAAGCAACAUUCAAAGUGACUUGAAUAACCCUUGAACUUUGUAUUGCGUGUAACUGAGUAUAUUACAGUAUUUUAUGACAAAAUUUCAGUUGGAUACAACCUUUCUUGACGUGCUUGUACUCAAGAUUUUAUUCAUUCAAUAAAUUGUGUAUUUUUUUUCCCAAAAAUUUUUAAAAUGUCUUGUGA